rnacentral:miRNA from 1 species
ACACUCAGAGAGGACGAACUGGU